GUCAACCCUUGCGACGAAAACAAGUUACGUUAUUUCACCUCUCGCGAAGAAAACACGCUCCAAGAUCACCACCCCAUUGGGAAGAAACUAAAUCACGACCCCCAAAUGGUAGUCUUCCCAUGCAGAUACAGGGAUGUCACACAGAUCCAAAUGGAAACAUCGAACACUGUAAAACCCACUGUGCAGACAGGACCAAUGGUGACAAUAUAAGACCAUGCCGAGCUUCAUGGACGGUUCAAACUCAUCCUGCCCAGGAACGGCUGAAAACGUUUACAGUCAAUCAACAGGGGGACAUGGAAAGAGAGGAUUGGAAGUGAAAUAGAGGUAUUUGUAAAAGUGUGUAUAUUCAUUGAUUCAAAACUUGAAGGAAGUGACUCGGUUAAAUUCUUACGUUAGGGUUUUCCGGGACAGCCAUAGGGGAAGGACUGUGGCAUCUUCAUGUUGAUGGUAGACUGAUAUGCCAACUCUGAGGAAGUGGUGGUGUAUAUUGCUAGCGGACAAUUUCAAACUUGGGUGCAUGGUAAGUCUUUGAAACUGUUGAUAUGGCAUUCAUAGGAAAGUAGGUGCACAGCACCUUAAUUCUUUGUUGGAAAAUGUGGAAUACUUAUUUUUGUAUUUUUUCAACUUAUGUGAGCCACAGGAAAGAGUUUGCCCAUUGGACAGAUGAGGCAAAAGCAUUACUGCAGGGUUAAGUGCCACCAGUCUAUCAGUUACAGAAGUGAAAUUUGAAUAUAAUUGCUGAGGAAGAGGUGCAACCACAGCUCCUUCAAGUUAGUGGUGGCCCACUCCAAAAAGAUAUGGCGGGAAAAAAUGUUUUGGUAAAAGGAUUGUGCAAGACAGCACAAAAGCCUCGGAC